CUAGGGGCGGGAAGUUGGGACGCGCGGGGGUCGCCCUGCUCCCGGCUGCACCCAGCUGCGCAGCUCUUGCAGGAGGAAACGCGCACGACUCGGACGCCCUUUUCUCACAACUUUCGGAAAACGAGGAAUUCCUCUCUCAGGUUGGAUCAAAGCCCCAGAGUUGAGAAAACCCGCCCAACUUAACCGGCUCGCCCCCACCCCCACAGCGUUUCUUUCUGGGCGCUCGAGUCGGCUGGUAACAAAAGGACCAGUGUUUCCCCAGCCCCUAAUACCUUUAUAUAAUCAAAGGUGGUUUUCUUGGAGUCAGAAAACUAAGCUAUUGAGACUCAGGGGGCGGCGGUAGGAAAAGAAACUUCUGCCGGCCGGCAGGUUUCAGCCACGUGAGAAAUGGUGACUUCACCGGUUUCUACUCUCCCAAGGCAAGACGGCCAAUAGAACAUUUUCAUGAUCUCCAAAUGUCCGGCAUCUGAGUCGGAACUGAGAACCGCUAUAGCCAGACUAGUCACUACUCAAGGGUGCUGACGUCCCCAGCCCUGACUAUCACAGUUACCUGGGGUGCCGGAGGAGUGGGGGGGUCAGAUUCUCAUUCUCAAAGAUGUCAAA